rnacentral:rRNA from 1 species
CCUACGGGCGGCAGCAGUGAGGAAUAUUGGUCAAUGGCCGGAAGGCUGAACCAGCCAAGCCGCGUGAAGGACGAAGGUGCCAAGCAUUGUAAACUUCUUUUGUCAAGGGACAAAAUCAGGCUCGAGAGCCUGACCGAGGGUGCUUGAAGAACAAGCAUCGGCUAACUCCUUGCCAGCAGCGGCGGUAAUACGGGGGAGGCGAGGGUUAUCCGGAUUUAUUGGGUUUACGGGGUGCGUAGUCGGGCUGUUAAGCCAGCGGUAAAAGCCCGGGGCCCAACCCCGGCGAGCCGUGGAAACUGGCUGGCUAGAGAUGCCGAGAGGUAUGCGGAAUGCGCAGUGUAGCGGUGAAAUGCUUAGAUAUUGCGCAGAACUCCGAUUGCGAAGGCAGCAUACCGGCGGGGAUCUGACGCUGAGGCACGAAAGCGUGGGUAUCGAACAGGAUUAGAUACCCCUGUAGUC